UACGUAGGGGGCUAGCGUUGUCCGGAAUCAUUGGGCGUAAAGCGCGUGUAGGCGGCCCGGUAAGUCCGCUGUGAAAGUCGGGGGCUCAACCCUCGAAUGCCGGUGGAUACUGUCGGGCUAGAGUGCGGAAGAGGCGAGUGGAAUUCCUGGUGUAGCGGUGGAAUGCGCAGAUAUCAGGAGGAACACCGAUGGCGAAGGCAGCUCGCUGGGACGGUACUGACGCUGAGGCGCGAAAGCGUGGGGAGCGAACAGG
rnacentral:rRNA from 1 species